UUUAAUCAUACUCUGGAUCUCGUUCUCACCUACGGUGUUGAAACUGAUGGUCUGUUGGUGUCACCUGUAAACUCCCUUUUAUCCCACCACUAUUUAAUAACGUUUGAAUUUAAUAUUGUCGAUGUUGAAGUACAAAAUAGGAGGUAUUACUUUAGCAGAUGUUUGUCUGAUGAAGCUAUUGCUAAAUUUAGGGAGGCCAUUGCUCAUCUUACGACAGUGGAAAAUAGAGAGAGUCGCAAUCUACGUCAUCACCUGGCAGCCGCCAUGCUGGACGAACCAUUAGCAGCUCUUCAGACCACUACGCACCGCGUACAGACGUGCUCCCUCUUAGUCGUGUUUUACGUGAAAUCGUUACUUUACAUUAUUCUGUAAACCCUGGUAGCCUGUUGCUGUGUUGUAGCAGCAGCAGCUCCACACAUAACAGACGUGGGGAAAAAAAUCGCUAAUGGUUUAACUUUUCACCGGUUCCUGCUCGGAGGCAGAACCUCCAAACAUCUGAGAUAACAAACAGUCGUCGGCUCGCUUGGCUGUAAGACGACCAAAUAUAACCUUCCACAUUAUCCCGAUGUCGAUGAGAGUCUGCUCCCUGCAUUUUCAUUCUGGAAAACCAGCAAAUGAAAUGUACAGCUCCCACCCAGACUGAGCCCCAUCUCUCAACCUGGGCCACACUAAGAUAAAUGUCACAUCGACUGCACGCUAUGAGAGAAGGGAAGGAGAAAACGGUGGAGGACUGACAGUACACCUGCGAUGGAUGACACAGUUAUGGAUGACCUUCUUCCAGCAGUGGAGACACCAGCACCAGUAGACGAUGGAGCUGACCAGAGAUCGCUGACAGAAUGUGACUUCUGUCAUCGUCGGCAGGAUGAAAUCAAGCGGCUGCUGGAAGAGAACAGGGCCCUGAAACGGGAGCUCGGUCAGAGGAAAAUGGGUGAACAUUUCCUGAAGGAUGACAUCAACAAAGUGAAGUACUACACUGGACUUCCACA